GUAGGGAAACUUACGCUAAUACCGCAUACGACCUACGGGUGAAAGCAGGGGAUCUUCGGACCUUGCGCGAUUGAAUGAGCCGAUGUCGGAUUAGCUAGUUGGCGGGGUAAAGGCCCACCAAGGCGACGAUCCGUAGCUGGUCUGAGAGGAUGAUCAGCCACACUGGAACUGAGACACGGUCCAGACUCCUACGGGAGGCAGCAGUGGGGAAUAUUGGACAAUGGGCGCAAGCCUGAUCCAGCCAUACCGCGUGGGUGAAGAAGGCCUUCGGGUUGUAAAGCCCUUUUGUUGGGAAAGAAAUCCAGCCGGCUAAUACCCGGUUGGGAUGACGGUACCCAAAGAAUAAGCACCGGCUAACUUCGUGCCAGCAGCCGCGGUAAUACGAAGGGUGCAAGCGUUACUCGGAAUUACUGGGCGUAAAGCGUGCGUAGGUGGUCGUUUAAGUCCGUUGUGAAAGCCCUGGGCUCAACCUGGGAACUGCAGUGGAUACUGGGCGACUAGAGUGUGGUAGAGGGUAGCGGAAUUCCUGGUGUAGCAGUGAAAUGCGUAGAGAUCAGGAGGAACAUCCAUGGCGAAGGCAGCUACCUGGACCAA
rnacentral:rRNA from 1 species